UACGUAGGGUCCGAGCGUUGUCCGGAAUUACUGGGCGUAAAGAGCUCGUAGGCGGUUUGUCGCGUCUGCCGUGAAAGUCCGGGGCUCAACUCCGGAUCUGCGGUGGGUACGGGCAGACUAGAGUGAUGUAGGGGGAGACUGGAAUUCCUGGUGUAGCGGUGAAAUGCGCAGAUAUCAGGAGGAACACCGAUGGCGAAGGCAGGUCUCUGGGCAUUAACUGACGCUGAGGAGCGAAAGCAUGGGGGAGCGAACAGGA
rnacentral:rRNA from 1 species